rnacentral:rRNA from 1 species
GAUGAACGCUGGCGGCGUGCCUAAUACAUGCAAGUCGAGCGAACAGACGAGGAGCUUGCUCCUCUGACGUUAGCGGCGGACGGGUGAGUAACACGUGGAUAACCUACCUAUAAGACUGGGAUAACUUCGGGAAACCGGAGCUAAUACCGGAUAACAUGUUGAACCGCAUGGUUCAACAGUGAAAGACGGUCUUGCUGUCACUUAUAGAUGGAUCCGCGCCGCAUUAGCUAGUUGGUAAGGUAACGGCUUACCAAGGCAACGAUGCGUAGCCGACCUGAGAGGGUGAUCGGCCACACUGGAACUGAGACACGGUCCAGACUCCUACGGGAGGCAGCAGUAGGGAAUCUUCCGCAAUGGGCGAAAUCCUGACGGAGCAACGCCGCGUGAGUGAAGAAGGUCUUCGGAUCGUAAAACUCUGUUAUUAGGGAAGAACAAAUGUGUAAGUAACUAUGCACGUCUUGACGGUACCUAAUCAGAAAACCACGGCUAACUACGU